AAGUGCAAAUUUUGGGACGUUCUUGGCUAAAACCCAACUCCGCGGAGUGCAUUCUGGAGCAACUCAGAAAUUUGGUUAAGACUAGACGCUCCCAAACUAGGAGCUGCGCUGCGACGAGAAAGAACUCAAAGGCUGCAGAAGGCUUGUUGCCAUGGACUGGGAGAACUCGGAGUUUUUCCAACAGUGAGAGAGAUCUCAAUAUACAGUAGUGUAGCACAUUGGGUGAAGUUUGCUGCUCAUUUAAUGGAUGACAGUUAAAAAUUGAAGUUCAGCAAUGUAUCAUGUUGGCUAAAAGUCAUACGAAAUUGCAGUAUUCAAAAUAUUAUGUGAUUUUUUUUGAAAGAUUGUAGAAUUGAUUAGUUGAGACGCGCGCGUGCGCGUGCA